rnacentral:rRNA from 1 species
AUUGAACGCUGGCGGCAGGCCUAACACAUGCAAGUCGAACGAGUGGCGGAAGGGUGAGUAAUGUCUGGGAAACUGCCCGAUGGAGGGGGAUAACUACUGGAAAAGGUAGCUAAUACCGCAUACCAUCGGAUGUGCCCAGAUGGGAUUAGCUAGUAGGUGGGGUAACGGUGCAACUGGGCGACGAUCCCUAGCUGGUCUGAGAGGAUGACCAGGCACACUGGAACUGAGACACGGGCCAGACUCCUACGGGAGGCAGCAGUGGGGAAUAUUGCACAAUGGGCGCAAGCCUGAUGCAGCCAUGCCGCGUGUAUGAAGAAGGCCUUCGGGUUGUAAAGUACUUUCAGCGAGGAGGCGUUACUCGCAGAAGAAGCACCGGCUAACUCCGUGCCAGCAGCCGCGGUAAUAC